GGACACACGUGGACGGGAUGAGUAUUCUCAGGCGCUCGGGUGAUGAGUUGUUAAGGAACUAGGCAAAUUAACCCCGUAACUUCGGGAGAAGGGGUGCCCAUGCAAAUGGGCCGCAGUGAAUAGCGUCAGGCGACUGUUUAACAAAAACACAGGUCUCUGCUAAGUCGAAAACGAUGUAUAGGGGCUGACGCCUGCCCGGUGCCGGAAGGUUAAAGGGAGUGGUUAGCGCAAGCGAAGCUACGAACUGAAGCCCCGGUGAACGGCGGCCGCAACGAUAACGGUCCUAAGGUAGCAAAUUCCUUGUCGGGUAAGUUCCGACCUGCACGAAUGGCGUAACGAUCUGACGACUGUCUCAACAACUCGCCCGGCGAAUUUGUGGUUCCGGUGAAGACGCCGGAUGCCCGCCACAAGACGGAAAGACCCCGUGCACCUUUACUAUACCCUAUCAGUGAAUUAUGGGUUGGACUGCGCAGGAUAGGUGGGAGGCUUUGAGAUCGGGUUUUUGGACUCGAUGGAGCCAACGGUGAGAUACCACCCUGUGUAAUCUGUGAUUCUAACCUGCUUCCAUGAUCUGGAAGAGGGACACUGGUAGGCGGGUAGUUUGACUGGGGCGGUCGCCUCCUAAAUUGUAACGGAGGCGCUCGAAGCUGCGUUCAGGUGUUUGGAAAUCCACCGACGAGUGCAAAGGCAUAAACGCGGUUAACUGCGAGACCUACAAGUCAAGCAGGUGGGAAACCAGGACUUAGUGAUCCGGUGGUUCUGUAUGGAAGGGCCAUCGCUCAACGGAUAAAAGGUACGCCGGGGAUAACAGGCUGAUCGGAGUCAAGAGUUCACAUCGACGCUCCGGUUUGGCACCUCGAUGUCGGUUCAUCGCAUCCCGGGGGUGUAGAAGCUCCCAAGGGUUAGGCUGUUCGCCUAUUAAAGCGGUACGUGAACUGGGUUCAGAACGUCGCGAGACAGUUCGGUCCCUAUCUGUGGUGGGCGCAGGAAAUUUGAGGGGGCUUGGCCUUAGUACGAGAGUACCGGGCUGAACGAACCUCUUGUGAUACAGUUGUCACUCCAGUGGCACAGCUGUGUAGCGAAGUUCGGUUAGGAUAAGCGCUGAAUGCAUAUAAGUGCGAAACCUUCCCCAAGAUGAGAUUUCCCAACCGUAAGGUAAUAAGGGCCGUGGAAGACUACCACGUUGAUAGGACGGGUGUGUAAGAGUAGUAAUACUUUGAGCUAACCGUUACUAAUAGCCCGUUCGGCUUGACCU
rnacentral:rRNA from 1 species